AGUGAACGCUGGCGGUAGGCCUAACACAUGCAAGUCGAACGGCAGCACAGGAGAGCUUGCUCUCUGGGUGGCGAGUGGCGGACGGGUGAGGAAUACAUCGGAAUCUACUCUGUCGUGGGGGAUAACGUAGGGAAACUUACGCUAAUACCGCAUACGACCUACGGGUGAAAGCAGGGGAUCUUCGGACCUUGCGCGAUUGAAUGAGCCGAUGUCGGAUUAGCUAGUUGGCGGGGUAAAGGCCCACCAAGGCGACGAUCCGUAGCUGGUCUGAGAGGAUGAUCAGCCACACUGGAACUGAGACACGGUCCAGACUCCUACGGGAGGCAGCAGUGGGGAAUAUUGGACAAUGGGCGCAAGCCUGAUCCAGCCAUACCGCGUGGGUGAAGAAGGCCUUCGGGUUGUAAAGCCCUUUUGUUGGGAAAGAAAUCCAGCUGGUUAAUACCCGGUUGGGAUGACGGUACCCAAAGAAUAAGCACCGGCUAACUUCGUGCCAGCCGCCGCCGUAA
rnacentral:rRNA from 1 species